AUUCUGACCUUCUUCUUCCUCCUCCUCCUCCUCCUCCACCCAUGCCGCCAUUUUGACCUCGCACCCACCUGUGCCGUGCGGUGGCAGAGGAUCCACCUCCAUCUCGCUCGCGUGCAGCAGAGAACCACCAUCUUUGGCCUCAUCUCAGGUUUCUACUGCACCUAGAGGAAACAUAGCUAUUUGAUGUCAACCUGUGACCUAUUUGCUUUCCCACUCCCGGCUGCCAACUAGCUUCAGCAAUUAUUUUUACAGAGAUUCCUAGCAUGGACAAAAGCUGGUUGAAAAAACCUAGGUGGACAGAUGAAUAUGAAGAGGGCUUAGCACAGUUCUUACAGUUCGCUUUCACUCAUUCAGCAAAAGACAACAGUAUUCUUUGUCCUUGCAAGAAAUGUAUGAAUUGUCAUUGGCUAAAUACUGAACUAGUUCGCGAACAUCUAAUAUGUGAAGGAUUUAUGAGGGGUUAUAGUAAAUGGUUCUUUCAUGGGGAGGGCUCAACUUUAGAUAGAACCAAUGUUUGCAUGGAGUCAGAGACAGAAGGUCAGCAAUUUGAUGAUAUGGAUGCAAUGCUACGAGAUGGACUUGGAUUUAAUGAUUUCAAUGCUGUAGAAGGUGAUGGGGAUGUGGGUGAACAUAGUGAAGAUGCUGAAAAAUUCUAUAAGUUAGCUGCUGAUGCUAGCCAGGAUUUAUAUCCAAGGAGCAAGAUGUCAAAACUUCAGUUUAUCAUAAAACUUCUCCAUGUAAAAUUUUUGGGUGGGUGGAGCAAUAGUAGUUUUGAUGAGCUCCUUGUACUUUUUAAGGAGGCUUUCCCUAUGGAAGGACAGUUGCCAGACAACUUUCAUGCUGCUAACAAAAUCGUCAAGUCACUGGGUCUAGGAUACAUCAACAUUGAUGCAUGUAAAAAUGAUUGCAUACUAUUUCGGAAAGAGUAUGAGAAUGCGAAGACUUGUCCAAGAUGUAAUACCUCUAGGUGGAAGGUUGAAAAAAUAGGGAUUGAUGGAAAACGAGUUCAUAAGGUUCCUCAAAAAGUUCUUCGUUACUUUCCCUUGAAGAAACGGUUACAGAGGCUUUUUAUGUCAGAAAAGACAGCCUCAGAUAUGCGUUGGCAUGCUGAGGGCAGGACAAAAGAUGGCUUAUUACGACAUCCCGCAGAUUCUCCUGCUUGGAAGAAUCUGGAUCAGCAAUGCCCGAUAUUUGGUGCUGAGAGUCGUAAUAUUAGACUCGCGUUAGCGAUAGAUGGCUUCAAUCCUUUUGGAAAUAUGAGCGUUAGUCACAGUACAUGGCCUGUUGUUUUAAUUCCAUACAAUCCCCCACCAUGGUUGUGCAUGAAACAACACAAUUUUAUAUUGUCUUUGCUUAUUCCCGGGCCAACACAACCAGGAAAUGAUAUGGAUGUGUAUUUUGAACCUUUGGUAGAUGAGCUUUUGGAUCUUUUCAAACAAGGUGUAAAGACAUACGAUGUCUCACGUGAUGAGUGGUUCCAACUACGAGCUGCUAUUCUUUACACCAUUACUGAUCUCCCAGGGCUUGGAUAUGUGUCAGGCCAUCUUACUUCAGGGAAAUUUGCUUGUCAGCAUUGCCACAUAAAUACCUGUUCUCUAUAUCUGAAAAAGGGUAGGAAAACCUGUUAUCUGGGACAUCGUAGGUUUUUGCACAAAAUCACAGUUUCCGAUUUGAUGAAAAAUCAUUUGAUGGAACUAAAGAGCUUAGAGAUGCUCCAGUUCAACCUUCUGGACAUGAUAUUUUGAAAGAGACAGAGAAUCUGAAUGUUGUUUUUGGGAAAGCUAAGAAGAAGAAGCGUAAACGUAAGGAUGAUGAUAAUAAUGAUGGUGGUAGCACAGUUAUAUGGAAAAAGAGAAGCUACUUUUUCAGAUUGCCGUAUUGGGAACAUCUUUUAGUUAGACACAAUCUAGAUAUAAUGCAUAUUGAGAAAAAUGUUUGUGACAACAUAGUAAAUACUUUGUUGAAUGUUGACCGCAAGUCCAAGGAUAAUCUCAAUUCUCGUUUGGAUCUUCAAAGUUUAGGGAUAAAACAAGAUCUGCACCCAGUUAUGCAGGGGACAAGUUUUCUUGCCUCCAGCAGCCUUCUUUUUGAGUGCUCAUGAGAAGAAACUGUUCUGUCAAGUUCUAAAGGAUGUUAAAUUUCCUGAUGGUUAUGCAUCCAACAUAUCAAAUAAGGUUCGUGUGGAAGAGAAAAGAUUGAUUGGACUAAAAAGCCAUGACAACCAUGUGAUUUUGCAGUAUCUGCUCCCUUUGGCCAUUAGGAGAAUUUUGCCUGAGAAUGUAUGUGUACCACUAAUUCGCCUAAGUAACUUCUUCCAGAAAAUGUUUUCUCCCGUGAUUCGUAUCAGUGAGAUGGAGGAGUUGGAGUAUGAAAUUGCUGAAACAAUUUGUCAACUUGAGAAAAUCUUCCCUCUAUCGUUCUUUAAUAUAAUGCUUCAUUUACCAAUCCAUCUUGCACAUGAAGCAAGGUUGGCUGGCCCAGUACAAUACCGAAACAUGUUUCCCAUAGAGAGGUACUGGAUGAGGCUGAAAUCAUAUGUCCGUGCUAAGAGCCAUCCAGAGGGUUCAAUUACAGAAAAUUAUAUUUUUGAUGAAAGUCUUACCUUUUGUUCCCGUUAUUUACAUGGUUGUUCAACUCGUUUUAAUCAUCGAGGACGACAUGACGAUGGGACUUGCCAGACCAUAAAUAAAAAGUCUUACUUAAGUAAGAUGGGUCGGCAUUUACUUGGAAAACGUUAUAGCUCCUUGGAUUAUAACUCAUGGAUUCAAGCCCAUAGAUAUGUGCUAUUCAACUUUGACCAAAUUGGCCCCUACCUUCAAAAGCAUCGUGAGUAUAUUUUAUCAACUGGAAUUCAAAGAACAACAGAUAUUGCCCGUGUGCAUCAUGAGACAUUUCAUGAUUGGUUUAGGACACAUGUUCAGGAUGUAGUGGCCAAAGGAGAAAACCCAUCAGAAGAAAUUCAGAUUUUGGCGAAAGGCCCUGAUAUGCAUGUUAUAACAUACAACAGCUAUCUUAUAAAUGGAUAUAACUUCCGCACAAAAUCUUGUGAUGAAGGGAAAUCAACUCAAAGUAGUGGGCUAGUUGUUUUUGCUGAGACUUCAAGUUUCUCUAGUGUGAAAGACAUAAAUCCUGUCAUUGGCAAAGUGCCAUACUAUGGCAGCAUCACUGACAUAAUUGAGUUAAAUUAUAGUGGGACAGGUCAGGUAGUUCUAUUCAAGUGUGAUUGGAUUAAGCUGUCUCGUGGCAAAGGUGUUAAGAAAGAUAAAUAUGGGGUUACACUUGUGAAUUUUAACCACUUGUCUAAUAAUACCAAUAGUUUAGUCGAUGAACCUUUUAUCCUAGCAUCACAAGCUACACAGGUGUAUUAUGUUCGAGAUCCUAUAGAUCAAGAUUGGUAUGCUGUUCGCGAAUCAAAACCAAGGGACUUCUAUGACAUGGGUAUUCUUGAAUGUGAAAGUGAGGAGGAUGUAUAUCAGCAAAAAGACCAAGUUGAUGUGAUGAACAAUACUGUCAACAUUGAUGUUGAUUGUGGCAAUGAUUAUCUCACUAGAAAUGAUAUAAAUGGAACAACUAUUGAUUUGGCUGCUGUCUCUCAACGGGGAAAUAAUGGCAAAAGAAAGAGUAAGUGGAGGAAGGGUAGAAAUAAAUAAGUAUGAGCUUCAGCGCAUGAUGCAAAUAGAAAGAAACAAUGAAGUCCUUGUGCAACACCUACCACACCUAGCAGAGAAGUUCAAAAUGAAUGCCUAAAAGACAAGACAAAUUACUUCAAAUGUGCCAAGCAAAUCUGUUGAUUUUCAAUGUCAUGAUGCCUACUUCAGUGAGGAAGAUGUACAAGACCAAUUAUAUGAAGAAAAUGAUCUAAGAGAAUUGAGCGAAGCGGAUGAUAUGGAUCAAUCCUUUGAAGCUAACAUGGAUUCAUAUGAUGGAAGUCAUUCUGAUGCUGAUAUCGAAGAAACUACAGAGCCAAAAAGAGGUAGAGGUAUCACAACGAUGGAAACAUUCUGGCCAAUUGUAGAAAAUGUAAAACUGAAAGUUGACUACAAUGAGCAUUUUCAACCAGUUGGUCCCUAUGCAUCAAAGUUAGCAAAUGUGAUUGGCAAUCUUGCCAAAGGUAAAGUCCUAUCACUUGCUUAUGAAGAUUGGACUGAUGUGCCUAACAAGGAUGAUGUCUGGGAUAACGUGAAGAGGUAUUUUGACUUGGAUGAAUGCUUAAAGGAAUAUGUCAUGAGAUCAGCUCACAAGAAAUGGAAAGACUUCAAAAAUAGGCUGAAAGCUAAGUAUUUUGACCCUGAGAAGACUAAUAAAGAACUUUGGAAAAAACAUGAUUCAAGAAUAUCACUAAAAGUCUGGAAGUGGCUUGUUUGUUUUUGGAGAAGUGAGAAAGGCAAAGCCCGCAGCAAUCGUGGAAAAGCAAAUCGUGCAAAAAUGGUUGCAGUACACACCAUUGGAACUAGGAGCUUAGCAAAUGUUCGUCAUGAUAUGGAGAAAAGAAAAGGUCGAAAAGUUAGUCGAGCAGAAGUUUUCAAAGUUGCAUACACCCGUAAAGAUGGUAGACCACAACCAGCUCAUGAAGUAACAAUUGCUAAAAUUGAUGAGAAACUCACCGAGGAGCCAGAAUUUGUGGACAAACCCAUAGAAGAAGGAGACUAUCUUUCAAACUUGCUUGGUAAGGAAAACAGAGGUAGAGUGAUUGGAAUAGGUAUGGGUCCCACUCCUGCAAGUCUUGGUUUGCCAGGAACUAAAUCAACAGCAAGAACAAUCUUACAGUUGGAGAGAGAAGCAAGACAUAGAGCAGAAGAAGAAGUCCGCGCUUUAAAAUAAGGGAUGCAACAACUGGAAGAAAGAAUGGAAGAACGAAUGGAGAGAUGACUUGCAGAGAAAAUGGCAGAAUUUAAAGCUAUGAAGCAUACUUCUCCUGAACAAAGAUACAACCAAGAAUUGUUGAAGCAUUGCAACUAAAUCAAAAGAGGCCUGCUAUGAAGGUAA